ACCGCACGCACGUAUUUCCCUCUAUAUCCGCGGAAUUUUCCCGUCAAAUACUCCAUUCAAAUUUCACACCACAUCGAGCAAUAAAAUAUCGAUUUGGUGUAUUCCCUGGUAUCACUACGUGCGUUAAUAGCUCAUUUAGUCGGUGUUAUAGCGGUUUUUGUGAGGCCAAAAUUUCGGGAAAUUGCCAGUUGUGUUGUGAGGAAAUUCAGUGCAUGUUACGUGGUUGUUGGAUCAACAAGUUGUUGCUCGUCAGCAACCGAGUGGAUAAAUUCAGUGACGAUUUAUCAUUUUUCUUAUAUCUUCUGAUAAAACACCGAUCUGCUCCAGACGUUUGCAGAGAGAAAAAAAAUUCCAGCGCUGAAGGACAGAAGUGGCCGUGACACUAAGAUACGAUGAUCCAAGGAUUCAAGUGAAUAACAAGAAAAAAGUGAGAGACAAGUGGAAAUAGAGACUGUAGAAAAUAAGUGGAUCAAUCCCCAGUGGUGAGGAUUGCCCUCGACGAUGGUCUGGAGCCAGGGGAUCCAACAAACUCCCAUCAGUUCACCCCAAUAUUUGUCUCCCUACACCUUCCAGGGUCGAAACUCCCUCUGCUCCGCCAAUGAUUAUACUCUACGAAGGAGACGUCCAAUGACACUGAAAAUUGGACCGAGACUGUGUGUUCCUGGUCGAAGUACUUCAGCUCCAACAAGUACGACUGAUGGAGAAUGGCCUGAGCACAGGUGAGUGAUGAUGGGAGUAAAUUGAAUCAUCGGUCUCUUGAAUCUUGACAGGGACUCGAAUCAGGACACUUUUAUGAUUAUUAUCGAGCUAGGGGCUCAAAGGAGCUCGCAGUGUGGAAAUGGCUUGGGCCCCUAGGGGCUCAUUUAUAGAUUUCUGGGAGAAAAGUUAUUCCUUUCCGAUUGAAUCUCUCCAAUCACCAAUCCAUUCCGCAUAUUCUUUCCUCCCACACUGGGAAAACAAUUACUCUCCCUGAAUCAAUUUCUUCGAGGCACAUGUACAAGUAGGUGUAAGUGAAUUAAUGAAUUUUAAUCUGGGGAUUUUAAUGAAUUUU